ACAAAAAAACGUACGAAAGUUUGAUUUUCAAAGCUUUAGAAAGCGGUUUCUUACUUUGAGAAGUUUUUUUUUGUGAUUUGCUUACCUUUUAAGUCAACUAAGAAAAAUAUAAAUUAAAUCGACCUUCUUAUGCGAGAUACAAAAAUGCGAUACGCAAAAACUACAACAUAAAAUAAAUUACAAAAUAAUACAUGUAAUGAUGAAGGAUUUAAUAGAAUGAGAAUAAUAAUUGAGUUAAGUAGUAUAAUUGGACCAUAAGUUAUGAGUUAGAAAACGUACCUAAGAGGGAUACUAAUACUGCUUACUAAAUAAUACAGCAUACGUAAAGGAAGGAAAUACUUGGAAUGUUCAAGAAAUACACUCUUUUUGGAACUAACAAAAUCUAAAUAUAACCUACUUAUUAUAAAAAAAUAUUUUUUUUUACUUUUUAAAAUACUGUAUAGUUCUUGCAAUUCACGAAGGCGAGUGAACUUUACUAGUGGUUACGUCGUAUACAUGGGUAUUGCGUAAGUGUGCGUGCAUGUUGGACCAAUCAGUCGCGAGCAAGCGCUCGCAAACGCACACAUUUAGUGUACCUUACUUAUACCGAUACGACUU